rnacentral:rRNA from 1 species
AGAGUUUGAUCCUGGCUCAGGAUGAACGCUAGCUACAGGCUUAACACAUGCAAGUCGAGGGGAAACGAUAUUGGAAGCUUGCUUCCGAUAGGCGUCGACCGGCGCACGGGUGAGUAACGCGUAUCCAACCUGCCCACCACUUGGGGAUAACCUUGCGAAAGUAAGACUAAUACCCAAUGACGUCUCUAGAAGACAUCUGAAGGAGAUUAAAGAUUUAUCGGUGAUGGAUGGGGAUGCGUCUGAUUAGCUUGUUGGCGGGGUAACGGCCCACCAAGGCAACGAUCAGUAGGGGUUCUGAGAGGAAGGUCCCCCACAUUGGAACUGAGACACGGUCCAAACUCCUACGGGAGGCAGCAGUGAGGAAUAUUGGUCAAUGGGCGAGAGCCUGAACCAGCCAAGUAGCGUGCAGGAAGACGGCCCUAUGGGUUGUAAACUGCUUUUAUAAGGGAAUAAAGUUAGUCUCGUGAGACUUUUUGCAUGUACCUUAUGAAUAAGGACCGGCUAAUUCCGUGCCAGCAGCCGCGGUAAUACGGAAGGUCCGGGCGUUAUCCGGAUUUAUUGGGUUUAAAGGGAGCGUAGGCCGGAGAUUAAGCGUGUUGUGAAAUGUAGACGCUCAACGUCUGCACUGCAGCGCGAACUGGUUUCCUUGAGUACGCACAAAGUGGGCGGAAUUCGUGGUGUAGCGGUGAAAUGCUUAGAUAUCACGAAGAACUCCGAUUGCGAAGGCAGCUCACUGGAGCGCAACUGACGCUGAAGCUCGAAAGUGCGGGUAUCUAACAGGAUUAGAUACCCUGGUAGUCCACGCCGUAAACGAUGAGCACUAGGUGUCGGGGCCGCAAGGUUUCGGUGCCGCAGUUAACGCAUUAAGUGCUCCGCCUGGGGAGUACGCACGCAAGUGUGAAACUCAAAGGAAUUGACGGGGACCCGCACAAGCAGCGGAGCAUGUGGUUUAAUUCGAAGUAACGCGAAGAACCUUACCAGGGCUUGACAUCCCUCUGACCGGACUUUAACAGGUCUUUCUCUACGGAGCAGAGGUGACAGGUGGUGCAUGGUUGUCGUCAGCUCGUGUCGUGAGAUGUUGGGGUAAGUCCCGCAACGAGCGCAACCCUUGUCAUUAGUUGCCAUCAUUAAGUUGGGCACUCUAGUGAGACUGCCGGGGACAACUCGGAGGAAGGUGGGGAUGACGUCAAAUCAUCAUGCCCCUUAUGUUCUGGGCUACACACGUGCUACAAUGGCCGGUACAGAAAGCAGCGAAGUCGUGAGGCGGAGCAAAUCUCCAAAACCGGUCCCAGUUCGGAUUGCAGGCUGCAACUCGCCUGCAUGAAGUUGGAGUUGCUAGUAAUCGCAGAUCAGAAUACUGCGGUGAAUGCGUUCCCGGGUCUUGUACACACCGCCCGUCACACCAUGGAAGUUGGGGGCGCCCGAAGUCGGUUAGCAAAUAGACUGCCUAAGGCGAAACCAAUGACUGGGGUGAAGUCGUAACAAGGUA